UGGGGAAUAUUGGGCAAUGGACGCAAGUCUGACCCAGCAACGCCGCGUGAAGGAAGAAGGCUUUCGGGUUGUAAACUUCUUUUGUCAGGGAAGAGCAGAAGACGGUACCUGACGAAUAAGCCACGGCUAACUACGUGCCAGCAGCCGCGGUAAUACGUAGGUGGCAAGCGUUGUCCGGAUUUACUGGGUGUAAAGGGCGUGCAGCCGGGCCGGCAAGUCAGAUGUGAAAUCCACGGGCUUAACCCGUGAACUGCAUUUGAAACUGUUGGUCUUGAGUAUCGGAGAGGUAAUCGGAAUUCCUUGUGUAGCGGUGAAAUGCGUAGAUAUAAGGAAGAACACCAGUGGCGAAGGCGGAUUACUGGACGACAACUGACGGUGAGGCGCGAAAGCGUGGGGAGCAAACAG
rnacentral:rRNA from 1 species